CCGCACGGGUGAGUAACACGUAUGCAAUCCACCUGUAACAGGGGGAUAACCCGGAGAAAUCCGGACUAAUACCCCAUAAUAUGGGCGCUCCGCAUGGAGAGCCCAUUAAAGAGAGCAAUUUUGGUUACAGACGAGCAUGCGCUCCAUUAGCCAGUGGCGGGGUAACGGCCCACCAAAGCGACGAUGGAUAGGGGUUCUGAGAGGAAGGUCCCCCACAUUGGAACUGAGACACGGUCCAA
rnacentral:rRNA from 1 species